rnacentral:rRNA from 1 species
CCUACGGGAGGCAGCAGUGGGGAAUAUUGCACAAUGGGGGAAACCCUGAUGCAGCGACGCCGCGUGAGUGAAGAAGCGCCUCGGCGCGUAAAGCUCUGUCAGCAGGAACGACGAUGACGGUACCUGAAGAAGAAGCCCCGGCUAACUACGUGCCAGCAGCCGCGGUAAUACGUAGGAUCCAAGCGUUAUCCGGAUUUACUGGGUGUAAAGGGAGCGUAGACGGCAGUGCAAGUCUGGAGUGAAAGGCGGGGGCUCAACCCCCGGACUGCUCUGGAAACUGUACGGCUGGAGUGCAGGAGAGGUAAGUGGAAUUCCUAGUGUAGCGGUGAAAUGCGUAGAUAUUAGGAGGAACACCAGUGGCGAAGGCGGCUUACUGGACUGUAACUGACGUUGAGGCUCGAAAGCGUGGGGAGCAAACAGGAUUAGAUACCCGAGUAGUC